rnacentral:tRNA from 2 species
GCGGGCGUGGCGGAAUGGCAGACGCGCUAGACUUAGGAUCUAGUGAGCUAAGCUCGUGGAGGUUCAAAUCCUCUCGCCCGCACCA